UCAAUUCUAUUUUUUCCACAGAUUUUUGAAGUAUCCUUCUAUUGUUAUAAUAAGCCUUUGCCUAUGGAGAUAUGGUAUGUCUUUCCUAAUUCAUGGGACAGUACUUUCCCAUGAGAGACUGCCCACUGAAAUAUUUUUUAGCAUCAAAAAUUUGGUAGUAAUUCAGCUGAUACUUGUCAUGCUGACUUUAUGCCUCCAGAACUAAACGUUUUGUUAAAGGUCGCUCAACCAGUCCUCACAAUUGUAAAGCGCUGAGACUCCAAAGGAUGAAGUAACUUGGUGAUUCACAUAAUAUGAAAAAUAUCAGGUUCUUGCAAAGUAACAAAGUUCAACACAUCGCUAUCACAUUUGUAACAAACCUGGUGUGAUACGUCUUUGCAGGUAUCAGUGAGACUUAGCUCCCCAUGACGACUUUGUGACCUAGACUGGAACUGGAGAGGAGAGAAGAAGCAGUAAAGACCCAGGAGUGUGAGACAAAUGAGGACCCACCCACUGAUGGUGCCAGGGGACAGGUUUUAUCGUGAGACUUUGGAGCAAAGAGGCAGACGCAGAACACACACAGAGCAGGGCAGAUUUCGUGCUUUGAUGCCUCUUGCCUUCCGAGGAGUUCCUGGGCGCUCAGUAGUCUGCCUCCCACGUCACUGCCCCCGCAGAGGGAGAGGCUGAGAGCCUCCCCAGCUUAUGGGACAAGCAUGCCCUGCAGCAGCUUUCAUCAAGACCUGGAGGAUGGCCGCUUCGCCAACGCACUUCCCAAGCUUUCUUGACGCCUGCGGAUAGCUCCCGUGUGAGUGUGAUGAUACGCACUGCGCAUGUGCCUAGAGGCGGGGAGCCAGUAACGGAGUAACGUGAGGCUGGUGAGGACAAAUCCAGCCAGUGUGGAGGGAGUGGGUCGACCGGGCCGCCGAGCUCCUGCGUUCUGGUCACAGGCUGUCUUGGGGUAAGAGUGCCCUUAAGCGUCACAGGUGAGAUGAAGGAGGCGCUCAUGGCUUCCAUGACCAUGGUACCUAGAUCUGCUAGCAUUUUUUAAAAGUUUACUUAUUUUAAAGGUAGAGUCAUAUUGAGAGAAGAGAGAGAGAGAGAGAGAGAGAGAGAGACAGAUAGACAGAGACAAUCUUUCAUCCCCUGGUUCACUCCCCAAAUGACAAACAGCCAGGGUUGGGCCAGGCAAAAUCAAGUGGCCUUGAACUCCAUCCAGUUUCCCACAUAGGUAGCAGAGACUGAAGCAUUUGAGCCAUCAUCCACUGCUUUCCCAGGCAUGUUAACAGGGAGUUGGAUUGCAAGUGGAGCAACCAGGUCAUAAAUCCAGUUCAUAUGGGCUGUUGGAAUUGUAGGCAGCGGUUUAACCUGCUACAUCACAAGGCUGGCCCCAAAAUCUAUUAACAUUUUUUAAAACAAGGAACUAGACUUCUGGGGCUUACCAUAUCUGUCUCCUCAUCCCCCUGUUCAGGAAAACCAAGAUUAGAGAGAGGUGCAAAGACUCACUCACCGAUCUCAGGCAGCACAUCUGUGUAUUCAACUGUGUGCACACACACAUAAAUACACUGAGAGAAGAUGGUGCAAGUCAUCGGCGUAGAGUGGGGUGGAAGCAGUUGAGGUUAUCUGACAAUCUUCUCGUGCCUUAAAAAGGUGCAAUGUCCACCUUUGACCAAGGCUAUCGUGGUACCCAGCCCAAUCAUCAGCUUCAUUAUUUCAUUUCGGAAGGGCUUGACUCCUGCAACACUCAGAGAUUCACUAGUUUCUGAAAGGAAUAUUCCUAGAAGAAUAGUCACUGGCAACUUGGUAUGAAGAAUUUUAGUCCAAAUUGCCCUGAGACAUUUCAUUUUACGUUACUGUGCAGAGAAUAAAGUUUUUAAGUUAAGCUGUACAUAGAAGCAUUCUUUAAAUACAUAACAGCUAUGUACAUAUGCAUACCAUACUUUAAACAACCUGAGAGUCAGUUCUUUUUUUUUUUUUUUUUUUUUUUGACAGGCAGAGUGCACAGUGAGAGAGAGAGACAGAAAGGUCUUCCUUUGCCGUUGGUUCACCCUCCAAUGGCCGCCGCGACCAGUGCGCUGCGGCCAGCGCACCGCACUGAUCCGAUGGCAGGAGCCAGGUACUUAUCCUGGUCUCCCAUGGGGUGCAGGGCCCAAGCACUUGGGCCAUCCUCCACUGCACUCCCGGGCCACAGCAGAGAGCUGGCCUGGAAGAGGAGCAACUGGGACAGAAUCCAGCGCCCCGACCGGGACGAGAACCCGGUGUGCCGGCGCCGCAAGGCGGAGGAUUAGCCUAGUGAGCCGCGGUGCUGGCCAAGGGUCAGUUCUGUUGUUUACUUUGUGCUAUGAAAAAUUGGACAAACCCAGUGGUGACAAAAUAUUGAGCUGCGAGCCUGAGACCUGGAAUUUCUGGUACUAUGUAAUUAUGUUUACGAGAUCUAUAAACUUUAGUUAAAGGUCCACAAUUGCACAUCACUCUAUUCAAAGUAAACUAAAAAUACUUGCUCAGUUUGAUAACUUGGAGACUUUCCAGAAGAGCACUUUUUAUUGAUCAUUGAUAUUUCCAAAGUUUGGGGGAGGUUUUCAUUGAUGAAGUCAUCCAAAAAUAUUUCACGUAUCUCCCUGUGAAACCAGCAUGCAUUUAUUAUCCCCCCUCCCCUUUUUUUCAAGACUCUGAAUAGAAAUAUACCAGCUCCAAGUGGCUGUAGACUUGACUUAGUUUAAAUGGUAGUGGCAGAAAGAAAAACAAGAUCCCGUGUUUACCACUAGUGAUUUCCAAAUUGUUGUGUCUUCCAGAUGGCUUAGAAAGGUUAAAUUACUACACUGAAUAUUAUCAUUUUGAAAAUGUUUCUCUUGGUAUCCAAAAGCAUCAACUUAACAUCUUAGCUUUGUGGAAUUUGAACAUAGCCCACAUUUGGGGGUUGGGCAUCACAAAGGGCUUUCCCUAUUGUUUUCUCAAAACCCUGCAAUGUUAGCUGCCCACCAGCAUUGAGUGCUUUGUUGUCUGGGGGGAGAUAAUGUUUUCCAGCUGUUCCGUUACCUCCUCUUCCUCCUUUCUCUUAUUUGAGUCACCACUUUUCUUUUUUUCUUUCUUUCUUUCAUACACUUAUGAUUUUUAUUCAUGAGAAUCAUGAACAAAAUGCUAAAUAAAACACAGUAAAACUCAGGCAGCUGAGCUUGAGGGCCCCUCCUUGGGAGAAUUUCCCUUGACUUAGGCUACAAGGGAGCCAGUUUCCUUGCCUGUCCCUAGGGCUGGCACAUUACAACAUCAUACAGGAGAUGGAGGGGCCCCCUUGCACCCGCACCAUCGCCUUACUGGGACACUUUCUUCUGUCUGGGAGCAGCUCCCUUCUUCCAGGUGGCCCUCACUGCUCCUGGUGCUGCGGUGGAAGGGGAGGCCACAGGGCCUUGCUGCGGAGCUGGUCUGGGGAGUGGGGUUCUGCCUCACCAUGCUAGGUAGGGGAGAGUCUGUUGUGCGGGCUCUUCUGAGGGCUUUCAUCUCAGCCGACUGGUCCACUUCAGGUAGUAGCGGUUGGGAGCUGGGGACCGCAUGCCCACGCAUGCUCCUCCUGAGAUCCAAGCCAUCAGGGAGGCUCGGAGGAAUAGCAGGCUUUGAGGGGAGCAACCAGCCUGAGGCCUACAUGUCAAUUCACCCUGGGGUAGCCCCUCUGCAGCCUGAGGGGUAAGGCGCUGCCUUGUUGACUGGAAGUCAGGGAAUCUUCCUUAUGGCCCAGCUGAAAGCCCAGGCCCUCCAGAUGUUCUUAGAUCUGGGGGUCCUGAGGAGAACCUGGAGGCUCCAUAUUCAUGAUUUAGGUCAAUUCCAGUUAGGUGUAGCCCUUCUGCUGAGAUUUCUCCCAGCACAGCCCAAGGGACAUUGAUUAGGUGUCAGGAAGCCUUCUUCAUGGCCCAGCUGAAAGCCCGCCAUGGAUUCUUAGUUCUCGGGAUCCAGGGGAGAUCCCUGAGGCUCCACAUUUGCCACUUCACUUCUUUCUGGUUCUUUCUGUCCCAUGUUGAGCCACUGGUGGCCCGUAAUGUCUUCCACUAUGGGCUUUUCCCUGGGGUCAUCGCUCAGCACUCUUUCUGGGAGGUGUUUCAAGCACUAGGCUUAUCUAAGGUGGAAGCUGGUAAUAUCCAGACAGGAUGUUAUCCUCCAGCUGCACCCUGGUCUUCUCAAUAAGGAGCAGGGACCCUGUCACUGUAGUGUACAAGACCACCCCCAGGCUCCCGAUGACUGCUUUGUCACCAUUGAAUUCCUCAUGCAGGAACUCUUCGGGGUCGCAGUACCUGGUGGGGCUGGGGAGUGUCCCAUGAAACGCAGAAAGUUGUUGUCCCAUAUGCUCUGUCUUGCCUUAUCUGCAACAGCCUUUUAUGUGUGGGUGAUGUAUGCCCCUCACUGUGUCCACUUCUACCCACACUUGCUGGAAGCUGGAAGAGCCCCUGUGUUCUCUUGGGAUGACUUUCAGGGCCACUAUAGUUUAACUUUGCAGAUGAUUGGUUACAUUGGCUGCCCUGGCCAAUGGUCCCAAUGAGCUGGCGUCCACUGAGGGCCUCCUUGUGGUGGAAGGUCAUGAACCCUUCUAUUGUGGUAGAACCCAGCUCACUAUUGUCUGUAAAGCACUUGUAACAUAACCAAUCAACUACACUAGGUAUGAUAACUGUGAAACAAAUGAAAAUUAAUAAUAACUGUGCUAAUAUUACAGGUAAUACUAACUUCAUUAACUACACCAUACUAUCACCAUGACAACUAACAUGGUUGAAAUAAAAAAAAAAAACACAAAAAAUGAGCAAACUGAAUAGAAAACACUGACCGAAUUAAGUACACUAAUGAUGCUAAUCAGUAGGUCUAAUAGUCGGAUCUAAACAGAAGCAUUGAAAACGAGAAAAACAAGAAAUGAGAUAAACACAAGAAAUGGAAAAUGAGAAAAUGAAGACAACAAUGGAAAAUAAGCAAAAGAAUUGACACCAAAAAAGAAAACAAAAAAUGAGGAACUAUAUAAGGAAAAUAAAUACAAAAAGUGAAAAACAACAGACACAAUAGAAUACAAGAACAAGAACAAAACUGAUAAAGACAACUAACUGAGCACCAAAAAGGAAACCUGAUGAAAUAAAAUGGACACUAUGAGAAAGAGUGACUUGAUCGGCCCUUGUCCUGACUGUUGAUGUACAACUUAAUACUUUAUCCCUUUCAGUAUAUUUUUUUGUUCUACUUAAUACUAUUGGUUGAACUCUGUAGUUAACACACAAUUAUUCUUAGGUUUUUAAAUUUAACUGAAAAGUGAUCUCUGUUAAAUAUAAGAGUGGGAAUAAGAGAGGGAGGAGAUGCACAAUUUGGGACAUGCUCAAGCUGACUUGCUCCAAAUGGUAGAGUUAGAAAUGUGCCAGGGGAUUCCAAUACAAUCCCAUCAAGAUGGCAUGUACCAAUGCCAUCUCACUAGUCCAAGUGAUCAAUUUCAGUUCACAAUUGAUCAUAACGAUAGGACUAAGAGUCAAAGGGAUCACAUAAACAAGACUAAUGUCUGCUAAUACUGACUGAUAGAAUCAAAAAGGGAAAGAAUGAUCCAACAUGGGAAGUGGGAUACAGAGCAGACUCAUAGAAUGGCAGAUGUCCUAAACAGCACUCUGGCCUCAGAAUCAGCCCUUAAGGCAUUCGGAUCUGGCUGAAGAGCCCAUGAGAGUAUUUCAGGCAUGGAAAGCCAAGACACUCUGGCAAAAAACAAACAAACAAACAAACAAACAAAAAACAACACCACACCUAAAUGAAGGAUCUCUUUGAGUGAGAUCCCAAUAGAAAGAAUGGGCCAUUAGGCCAGCGCCGCGGCUCACUAGGCUAAUCCUCUGCCUUGCGGCACUGGCACACUGGGUUCUAGUCCCAGUCAGGGUGCUGGAUUCUGUCCCGGUUGCCCCUCUUCCAGGCCAGCUCUCUGCUGUGGCCCGGGAGUGCAGUGGAGGAUGGCCCACGUGCUUGGGCCCUGCACCCCAUGGGAGACCAGGAUGAGUACCUGGCUCCUGCCAUUGGAUCAGCGCGUUGCGCCGGCCACAGCGUGCUGGCCGUGGUGGCCAUUGGAGGGUGAACCAACAGCAAAGGAAGACCUUUCUCUGUCUCUCUUUCUCACUGUCUAACUCUGCCUGUCAAAAAAAAAAAAAAAAAGAAAGAAAGAAUGGGCCAUCAAAGAAGGAGGUACCUUCUCUGAAGGGAGGAGUGAACCUCCACUUUGACUAUGACAUUGUCUAAAUAAGAUCGAAGUCGGCAAACUCAAAAGGCUUCCAUAGCCUUGGCAACUCAUGACAAGAGCCUAGGGUGAUUACUGACGUCAUAAACAAGAGUGUCAAAUUGUUAAGUCAACAACAGGAGUCACUGUGCACUUACUCCUCAUGUAGGAUCUCUGUCCUUAAUGUGUUGUUCGGUGUGAAUUAAUGCUAUAACUAGUACUCAAACAGUAUUUUUCACUUUGUGUUUCUAUGUGGGUGCAAACUGUUGAAAUCUUUACUUAGUAUAUACUAAGUUGAUCUUCUGUAUAUAAAGAUAAUUGAAAAUGAAUCUUGAUGUGAAUAGAAUAGGAGAGGGAGUGGGAGUUGGGAGGGUUG